rnacentral:rRNA from 1 species
UACGUAGGGUGCAAGCGUUGUCCGGAAUUAUUGGGCGUAAGAGUUCGUAGGCGGUUGUCGCGUCGGGAGUGAAACACGGGCUUAACCCGUGCCUGCUUCCGAUACGGGCAGACUAGAGGUAUGCAGGGGAGAACGGAAUUCCUGGUGUAGCGGUGAAAUGCGCAGAUAUCGAGAGGAACACCUGCGGCGAAGCGGUUGCUGGCUGACACUGACGCUGAUUGUGCGAAGCUAGGGAGCGAACGG